rnacentral:tRNA from 1 species
GGAUUGUGGCUCAGUGGUGGAGUGCUCCCCUAGCACGGGCGUGACCCGGGUUUGAUUCUUAGCACCA